rnacentral:lncRNA from 1 species
CUUGGAAGCAAUUCCAGACAGGCCAGGAGUACCAGUCCUCAAAAAAUGAAGGAAAAAGCUCCUCCUGGAGCUGGCUCCAAACGAUGCUUUUUUCCUCACAAUGCAGAAUCACAGAUCCAUGGACUCUCGGGAGAUGCUCUGCAGGACUGGACACCUGCCAAGGGUCCCUGUUCGGGCACCAACACCGUGUGGCCAGAGCAGCUUCCCCAGGCAGGUGCUGUCGGGGUGCCUGCAGCACCNGCAGCAGGACAGUUCUCCCAGACAGUUGAACAAAUAGGGGAGAGCUAAAUGGAGAAGGAAUUGCUAGUUGAAUAGCCCCAGAACAUAUGGGGGGUUUUGUCUUCUGCUUUCUUGCCCUGUUUGGGACGUUGGGAGCUUUUGUUUUCUCUGACAGAAGUACAGUUGCUGACAAGGGAAACACACCCAAAGACCAAUAGCAACCCAGCCUUCCCUUUGCUUCCCUUUUCAUCUUCCCUCACUGAUACACAGUGCUCUCAUACCAGGACCUCAGUGCUGCCUCACCCGAGGAUUAUUUAGAGCUGACUCCAGGCCCUUCCAGGCUAAGUGCAGGUGCUCACGACUCUGAGGUUUUCCUAGCUUCUCCCAAGAAAGUGUUUGCCACAUCUGGACUUCUCAGGGUUUCAUUGGAGGAGCCACGCACAAGCAAAUUUCAUCUCAACCAUGAGCUCUUCAUUCUGCUGAUUCUCAUGGAGUUUAAAUGCCAACCUGAGCUCAUCAUUCCUCUAGUUCCCAUAGACCAUUACAACCCUUCCAUGGCCUCUCCAGAGAGGAGCAGCUGCACAUCUUCAGAGCAGCAGUUGCCAGCCCGCAGGCCAUCAGCCAUCCCAGACACUUCAGCCCCCAGCACUCCAGCUGGCAGUGCAGGUUGUGCAGCAUGGACAGCCCCCAGCUGGCUGUGGAAUACUCCUGGGGAAGAGGAAUUGCCACCGCCGGAUCUGGACAUGGUGCUUGAGACGCCGGAGGAGAUGUUUUCUCCCUCUGCUCAGGUAACUGCAUUGGACAGGGAAGAAAGGGGCUGGACUGAGAGCUUGUGAAUGUUGUUGCAUGGCUGAGAAGGAAAAGCUCCUCGAGUUCAGCUGUGAAUGGAAAGGAAGGCUUUGCUUGCUGAAAGAAGAUUUCCAGAAGAAGAGGGAAUGAAAAAGGGGGACAGCCCUUAAAUGAGGAUGAAAGGUGUUCACCGUGUUUGGUUGCUCCUACUGGGAAGCAUCCCUGGUGCAGGGGCAUUUGUGGUGAGGAAGGGGAAGCUUUGUAGGUUCUAAGAGGCUUUGUUUGCUGGGAAAGAGGAGAAGAGUGUUUGGAGAAGUGGCACUGAAGGCCAAGUGUCCUGUGCAGGGAGGGGCAUGCCAGAGGUGCCUCUGUAGCAGCAGCAGAUGUGGGCUGUGCCUCUUUUGGGUGGCAAGGCCGAG